UACGGAGGGUGCAAGCGUUAUCCGGAUUUAUUGGGUUUAAAGGGUACGUAGGCGGUGGAGUAAGUCAGUGGUGAAAGCCAACAGCUCAACUGUUGAACUGCCAUUGAUACUGCUUCACUUGAGUGCAGUUGAGGUGGGUGGAAUUCCAUGUGUAACGGUGAAAUGCUUAGAUAUAUGGAGGAACACCGAUAACGAAGGUAACUCAACUAAACUGUAACUGACGCUGAGGUACGAAAGCGUGGGGAGCAAACGGG
rnacentral:rRNA from 1 species